rnacentral:rRNA from 1 species
GACGAACGCUGGCGGCGUGCUUAACACAUGCAAGUCGAACGGAAAGGCCCUGCUUUUGUGGGGUGCUCGAGUGGCGAAAGGGUGAGUAACACGUGAGUAACCUGCCCUUGACUUUGGGAUAACUUCAGGAAACUGGGGCUAAUACCGGAUAGGAGCUCCUGCUGCAUGGUGGGGGUUGGAAAGUUUCGGCGGGUGGUGAUGGACUCGCGGCUUAUCAGCUUGUUGGUGGGGGAGUGGCUUACCAAGGCUUUGACGGGUAGCCGGCCUGAGAGGGUGACCGGCCACAUUGGGACUGAGAUACGGCCCAGACUCCUACGGGAGGCAGCAGUGGGGAAUAUUGCACAAUGGGCGGAAGCCUGAUGCAGCAACGCCGCGUGCGGGAUGACGGCCUUCGGGUUGUAAACCGCUUUCGCCUGUGACGAAGCGUGAGUGACGGUAAUGGGUAAAGAAGCACCGGCUAACUACGUG